AGUAUUCUAACUGUGCAAAGGUAGCAUAAUCAUUAGUCUUUUAAUUGAAGGCUGGUAUGAACGGUUGGACGAAGUAUAAGCUGUUUCAUGUAAAUUUAUAAUAGAAUUUUAUAUUUUAGUCAAAAAGCUAAAAUAUUAUUAAAAGACGAGAAGACCCUAUAAAUCUUUAUAUUUUAUUGUGUAUAAAUUUUAUAGAUAUUUUUUAUUUUUAUAUGAUAAAAUAUUUUGUUGGGGUGAUGUUAAAAUUUAAUGAACUUUUAAUUAAUUUAAAACCAUUAAUUUAUGAUUUAUUGAUCCAUUAAUAAUGAUUAUAAAAUUAAGUUACUUUAGGGAUAACAGC
rnacentral:rRNA from 1 species